AUCGCUUCUCAGCCUUUUGGCUAAGACCAAGUAUAGUAUCUGUUCUUAUCUUAUCUGAUAUGUUCUCUAAAUGAGAAUGUUAUAUUAAACAGAUUUUUAGAUCAGAGAGCUGGAAUAGGGGCUUGUUCUGUCUGCUUCACGCAUCAACCUGGUAUUGCAGUACUUCCAGGAAUGGUGCUCUUGUU